rnacentral:rRNA from 1 species
AGCAAGCGCACGAAGGCGUACACGGCGGCCGAGGACAAGCUUCUUUGCGAGUGUUGGCGAGACAUUGGACAAGACCCCAAGACGGGCGCUGAGCAAAAGCAUUCAACCUUUUUGAUUCGUGUCCACCGAGAGUUUCAUGAGCGCAAGAAGUUUCCGCCUUACCAAUUUGUGAGCACGCGCGGGUGGGUCUCCAUUUCCAAGCGGUGGAGGGUGACCCAACAAGAGUGCAACAAGUUUUGCGCCACUCUUGAGAGCAUCAAGGCCCGCCCCGUUAGCGGCAUCGGCAUGCAAGACAUGGUAUGCUAG